AUGGCGGGUUCAUCCAUCAAUGUCAUCUCCUUGAGGGUUGUUAAAUCUGGCCCUGAGCACACAUACCCAGUCGAGGUUUAUGGCAGAGUUAUUGCGAGGGAUGAGGUUGACUACAAAUGUGUCGUUCUGUUCGAUCGUGAAAGGAAGGAUGCCCAGUUCAUCAAUUCGGAGAAGGAUAUGUUAGCUCUGACAGGUCCACGCCGAGCAUUGGUUACUGAUGGCUUGAUGUGUUUCGAGUUUGAUUUAAAGGUCAAGGGCAAGGGUGGGCCUGAUUGUGAUGUACAGUUCAGCAAAGGUGUAAUACUCUACCGUCACAACUUCUACAACAAGCGCAUGAUCAGCCAGCUACCUAGUUUCCAGAGUACGGUGAAAUUGGUAUUGCAACAUGUGGCAUCUCCAAUGGCAGCUAGUGUUGAAGUCAGUCUUGUGAGAAAACAACAGCUUGGUGAUCGUGCUGUACACUUCAAUGGUAAAAUAACAGUUGGGACUGCUAGAAAUUAUAGACAGCAUAUGGUUGUUUAUGAUAGUAGUCGUCUGCCUAGUGGGGACUUGGUGACGGAAACUGGCUCUCUUGUGUUGGAUCAUAACCUGUUAGCUGUCUCGCGGCGUAUACGAGACAACACACUCAAGGGAGAUGAACAAGAGACGAUCUAUGUGUGUUUUCUUGGUGCUGGUUCUGAGAUUGAGGAUGAGGAUUAUAUUAGGCCUGAGGAAGAAGAUGAAGAUGAGGAUGACAUUGUGUCUGACGAAGAAGGCCAAGAGGAACCUGAUGAAAUGGAAAGCGCGGGUGCGGAGGAUGAUGGGGACGACCCUACUAGUCUUGUUGCUCUCAAAUACCCUCUGAGUGAGACUCUGUGCGAACACGGCUCCCUCAAGCUGAAAGUGAAGGUUCAUUGGACUGCUAUCAUUGAGGCGCCGCUGCAUGGUGAAUUCUUAACAAGAUUGGGUGUCCUUCUAGAAGGUUAUAAGUUGCCUGAUUAUCGACGGGGUUCGGCCAAUGGUUCUUUCUGUGAGUGA
rnacentral:rRNA from 1 species